rnacentral:rRNA from 1 species
AGAGUUUGAUUAUGGCUCAGGAUGAACGCUAGCGGCAGGCUUAACACAUGCAAGUCGAGGGGCAGCGCGGAGUAGCAAUACUUGGCGGCGACCGGCGCACGGGUGCGUAACGCGUAUGCAACCUGCCCGUAACAGGGGUAUAACGGAGGGAAACUUCCACUAAUCCCCCAUAUUCUUGCGGAUUCGCAUGUUUCUGCAAGGAAAGCUUUUUGUGGUUACGGAUGGGCAUGCGUGACAUUAGGUAGUUGGCGGGGCAACGGCCCACCAAGCCGACGAUGUCUAGGGGAGCUGAGAGGCUUAUCCCCCACACUGGUACUGAGACACGGACCAGACUCCUACGGGAGGCAGCAGUGAGGAAUAUUGGUCAAUGGGAGGAAUCCUGAACCAGCCAUGCCGCGUGGAAGGAAGAAGGUCCUAUGGGUUGUAAACUCCUUUUGUUCCAGAGUAAUAAGUCGUUUGCGAACGAUGAUGAGAGUAUGGGACGAAUAAGCAUCGGCUAACUCCGUGCCAGCCGCCGC